UUAUCGGCUAAGACGUUAAGCCGUUGCCUCAUAUUACAAAAUCUCGCUGAAAGAUGCUCUGCCACUUUCUCUUUCCACUCAUAGUUGAAAAAGCAGGCAAUAUGAAGAAACAAAUCUUUAUUUUCUUGAGAUAAUGCGUUAUAACCGAACAUCAAAAUGCUCUCAAUUUCUCCAUCAAGGCAUCUCCAUAGCUCUGGUAGUUCAUUCUCCCACUCCUGCUUGGACAUUCCACGAAAAUGAGAUCCCAUAACCCUUAGUCCCAAAGGGAGUUUACCGGCGAGUCUUGUAACUUCCCAUACGAGGUUCUCAAAACCAUCUUCAGGGGACUUUUGACCAAAAGCAUACAUACAAAACAUCUGAAUAGCCUCACGAUUUGAUGGAAAAUCAACCUUGUAAAUAUGAGUGAUCCCAUGUGCCUUCAAAAUCUUUCGAUCUUGCGUUGUAAUCAUCGCCUCCACUGAACAUUAUGCCAAUAACAUUUCCACUACCCUGAAAACAGAACCAAAAAUAAGGUAGAGAUGAUUGCAGUUUAUCAAACAGACUCAGUUUGUAACUGCAAUAAAUCACUAAAAGAAAAACUUACCGCUGCAUCAUCAGCAAGUACUUCACAAGUCUCUCUUUCAUCGACCAGAAACCGGCGUUGUCCAGGCUCACUGGACUGUUUGCGGACAAUAUCUCUACCCAGCUGGACUAGCAGAUCAUGCAUACUCACACGUUCACUUUCCAAAGAUAUGAGAGACUUAUCGGCUAAGACGUUAAGCCGUUGCCUCAUAUUACAAAAUCUCGCUGAAAGAUGCUCUGCCACUUUCUCUUUCCACUCAUAGUUGAAAAAGCAGGCAAUAUGAAGAAACAAAUCUUUAUUUUCUUGAGAUAAUGCGUUAUAACCGAACAUCAAAAUGCUCUCAAUUUCUCCAUCAAGGCAUCUCCAUAGCUCUGGUAGUUCAUUCUCCCACUCCUGCUUGGACAUUCCACGAAAAUGAGAUCCCAUAACCCUUAGUCCCAAAGGGAGUUUACCGGCGAGUCUUGUAACUUCCCAUACGAGGUUCUCAAAACCAUCUUCAGGGGACUUUUGACCAAAAGCAUACAUACAAAACAUCUGAAUAG
rnacentral:lncRNA from 1 species